rnacentral:misc_RNA from 1 species
GAAAUGCGAUAAGUAAUGUGAAUUGCAGAAUUCAGUGAAUCAUCGAAUCUUUGAACGCACAUUGCGCCCGCCAGUAUUCUGGCGGGCAUGCCUGUCCGAGCGUCAUUUCAACCAUCAAGCCCCCGGGCUUGUGUUGGGGACCUGCGGCUGCCCGCAGGCCCUGGAAACCAGUGGCGGGCUCGCUGUCACACCGAGCGUAGUAGCAAUCACCUCGCUCAGGGCGUGCUGCGGGUUCCGGCCGUUAAACAGCCUUACAAAACCCAAGGUUGACCUCGGAUCAGGUAGGAAGACCCGCUGAACUUAAGC